rnacentral:tRNA from 1 species
CAGGGUGUAGCGCAGCCUGGUAGCGCGCCGGCGCGGGGAGCCGGAGGCCGUCGGUUCAACUCCGACCACUCUGA